GAUGAAGAACGUAGCGAAAUGCGAUAAGUAAUGUGAAUUGCAGAAUUCAGUGAAUCAUCGAAUCUUUGAACGCACCUUGCACCCUUUGGCAUUCCGAAGGGUAUGCUCGUUUGAGUGUCAUUGUACUCUCACACUCUCCGAUCCUAUGGAUUCGGGGAGCGGUGGACUUGGGUGUUGCUGCCUUUCCUUGUGGCUCACCUCAAAUGCGUCAGUGCACCUCUUGGUUGGACAUAGUACGGCGUGAUAAGUGUCUUCGCCGGCACCUCGCAAGAGGGUGGCCGAUCGGGAGCUCUGCGCUUUCAAACCGUCUUCGGACAAUUUCUGACAACUUGACCUCAAAUCGAGUAGGACUACCCGCUGAACUUAAGCAUAUCAAAGCGGAGGA
rnacentral:misc_RNA from 1 species